AGUAGCUAAGAUAUCUGGUAAUUGAUUUGUAGUUCCAGAUACUCACUUCAAGAGUUUUGUGGAGGCAGGCAGGCUCCUCCGUGCUCACGACUGUGUGGACCUCUGGCUGUUGGUGACUUUGCAGAGGACGUUGGAAGGAAUAGAGGGGGGACAGAAAAGUCCUGAGUGGGAAGGAGUUGAUGCUCUUCAGAGGAGAGGGAGGGAGGAGGCUGGCCUGAUCCAGAUGCAGGAAGAUGAUGGCCAGAGUGGACUUGGGCUCUAGUCUGGAGCUUAGAGGUGAACCGCCGUGGGCUCCUGGGCAGAGAUGAAAAGAUGGGUGAGCACAAGGUCUCUGGAGAUGAGAGAUGCAGAAAACUAGAGAGCCACCAAUACACAGUAAGUACAGAAAGGAAAGUUGGGGUUCCUAGUGAAGGUUUUAGAGUCUUACAAGCAUAAUGUUGAGCAAAGUAAGCCAGACA
ensembl:lncRNA